AAGAAACAUUAACAACUUAAGCAGAGUUCAGUAAUAGUUUAACAUAAAACAGCAGUUUACCAGUAUUAAAUCCACACAAUCCAUCAACAUGCAGAUGUCAGUAUGUCUAUUAUUUGUAUCCAUGGUUAUGAUAAUACCUACAGAGGGUAACCUUACUGCCCAACAACUGGCUGCACUUGUCAAAAUAUUAUCAAUGGAUUCAGCUGCGCCGAGUAAUACAGAAGCAGGCACUGGUGCAGCCGUGGCCGCGGUUACGGGUGGAAAUAUGGCUCCGACUACAGAAACAGCGGCGUCAAUUUUAGGUAAUUUAUACACAACAGGUAAAGAUGCUGCUGCUAAGCUGAGAACACAACUGAUCAGCCUACAAUCUCAAGCAGAAGCUGCAAGGAAGCAAGCUGAAGUUUUAGAAGAGCAGCAAGGUGACGACUCUGAAGAAGUGGAACAACCCGCGACUCAACCUGAAGCACUGGCAACAAAAGCGACUCAACUUUCGUCUGCUGCUCGAAUUCUGAGCAUAAUUGUGUCUGAUAUUGAUGACUUUACAGACAAACUGAUGGAAUCACGAGGAACGUUCAUCGCAGCACUUCCCGCUCCAUCCAGCAGUGCCGUCCAACCGGGAACCUUGCUCGAACGUCUCUUGGCAUUAUACUCAACUAGUCAAGUUUAGUGAAAUUUCUCCGUAUGUGUGAUGUGGCCAAUGUCAUAAGAAUUUCCCACAGUACAUCACUUAUUGAAUAUGUCAUAAUACACGAUUAUUUGAUUAGAUAUUUACAAGUUAUUUUGAUAUAAAAAAUCUUUUGGAAAUAUUGUUAUUUUCAA